UCUGGUGAGGUAGUAGGUUGUAUAGUUUAGAAUCUUACCUUGGUGAACUAUGCAAGUUUCUACCUCACCAGA
rnacentral:pre_miRNA from 14 species